GACAGAGGAUGCAAGCGUUAUCCGGAAUGAUUGGGCGUAAAGCGUCUGUAGGUGGUUUAUUAAGUCUACUGUUAAAGAUCAGGGCUUAACCCUGAGCAGGCAAUAGAAACUAAUAAGCUAGAGUACGGUAGGGCAGAGGGAAUUCCCGGUGUAGCGGUGAAAUGCGUAGAGAUCGGGAAGAACACCAACGGCGAAAGCACUCUGCUGGCCGAACUGACACUGAGAGACGAAGCUAGGGAGCAAAUGGG
rnacentral:rRNA from 1 species